AAUCUUCAUCAAAAUCUAAAAAUCACAAAUAUAAAACUGAAAAGGGAAAACCUAACUUUUUUUUUUUGUUAGCACCUAACUUCUUAAUUGGAAACUUAGAAUAUAAACAUUAUCUAAAAACUUAAAAAGGGUAAAAGUUAUUUAUUGGUUCAACCGGCGGUUCAACCGCUAUCAGGUUCCGAGUUUUAGUGAGUUUCUGUGGGUUUUUGUGGGUUUCUAAAUAUUGAGUUUUUCACAAAACCCAAACCAUAUUUUUUUCUAGGUCACCGUAUUUACUGGUUCAAUCGCGGAUCCGGGUCGGGUUUCAAAACACUGGUUAAAAAUGUUAUUUUAGAGUUCUUUGUUUUGUUUCAAAAAAGAAUCGGUUACGUACGUUUCAAACUUUCAAUGUAUUAUCACACUCAAUUCCAAUAUAUCGAAUUAGCUGUAACAUGAAUAUAUUUGCGAGUAUGAAACAAUUUAUCUUCAAAAUAUGUAAAAUAUCACUCUUUCAAAACAUAGCUACGGGCUAACAAACUCUCACAUUUAAUCUGAUAUUUACAUUUCAAUCAAACUCAAGGUUCUUGAAAUAUCAGAAAGCUUGUGUAUAUAUGUUAUUAGAUUAUUCUUUCGUAACUUACACAUAAACACCUUAAAUUAUUAUAUAUUCAAAUAAUUUUACAGAACUAAACCAAAAUUGAAAGAAACACUAAACAUAAGCCAAAAAAAGCAGUAAGUCGAAAACAAAUUAAACCUAAAUCAAAAUCCAAAUUUCAUCAUCAUCAUCACUCGCACCACCAUUAAGCUUUGUCUUCACUCUCCGGUGAGCAGAUGCGUAAGCACCACCACCGUACCACCACCACAACGCAACCUUUUCCGUACCCUAAAAAAUAUAAAACCAUAGAGAGAGAGAGAUUGACAGGCGAGUUCAUGGGAAAGAGAGUCUGAGAAGAAAUUGAUGACCGUAGACGUCGUUGUCUCUGACACGCCACCUCCGCCGAGCUUCCGCUUCACCCUCUCCGUUUCCAUUGAAGUCAAAGAACGAAAAAGAGUCUUUAUAAUUAAUGUAUCUUAUGUGUUGCAUUUUUGCAACUUCUCUAAAAAGUUAACAAAGACGCAGUUUUUGGUGUUGCAUUACUUUUAUCUCGUGUGUUUUAGAAUUGAAGCAUAUAAGAAAACAAAUUGUGAGAAGGACUAUCUAAUCGACACGUGGCAAAUAUAAUGUGAACGCAUUAAAUGCAAUGCAUCCCUUUUAAUAUAUAAGAGAUUUUGGUAACAUAUAUUAUGUAUUUAGAUUUUAUUUUAUUUACAUGCACAGAGUCCCAAUUUUACUAGUAAAAAAUUUAUUAAAUUUGUUUAUCUUGAUGACAAAAAUGUAUUUAGCUUCGUCUUUGCUAUACACAAGCUCUACACACACAAAGAGAAGCUAAAAUGAUGUAAUAUCGUGGCAAUUUUAUGAUUGAUAAUUCUAUAUAUUAUUGUAGAAUAAUGCAUUUACUACAUAGGUUCAUGAAAUGCGUUUAGAAAGAUGAUACAAACAUGUCUUUACAAUGACUUUUUGAUAGGGGAAGACAUUAGUUACUCAUUACAUGUCCAGUACUCACUACUUCGUAAAGUCGGAUUUUGGUUUGAGAAGUCAAGUAUCAAAUAUUAAAAUAAAAGUAAUUACGUGGUAUUGUUUAACUUGUUUUUAUUAAUGAAACAAAUAUACCUUUUUAAAUUUCAACAGAAUAAUUCGUUUAUAAUUUCCAUAAGUGAAUCGAAGAUAAAUUAUAUAUUUAUAUAAGCAUUUGGAGUUUUUUUUGUUCUUACUUAUUCUAUUCUCCGGAUUGACUAAAAUAAAGAAAAAAAUAUAUUUAACUUUAAAUUACAACUAAUUAUCAAAUAAAUUACUAAUAAUUAUCAAGUUCUUACAAGUGACGUAGAAAUAACAAGUAAUAAAACAGCGUAAAUAAUUUUAAAGUCAGUCAUUUUUAGAUUGUAUUUGAAACUCCAGUUACUCGAUUUAACAAACCAAUACAAAUUCAAAGUUUUACAAUUCUUAUAAGUUAAGCCAAUGCCGGCCCUUGGACAAAGCAAAGGAAGCAUCUGUUUCCAGCCAAUAAUUUUAUGUAUUAAUUUCAGCCAUAUUUUGCCAAAAGUUCUCAUUAGUCCAAUGGUAUCUUUAGGUCCAAGUUACCGUCAAACAGUUGGGAUCCAGAUUUCUAUUGACCAUAUCAUUUUUUUUUUAAUUUUCCCUUCUAAAAAAUGGUCAAUCUUUUUUAUGCUUCUAGUUUAUAAAUUUUUAGGACCGGUUCUGAGUCAAGCAGAGUGUCAAAUAUAUUGAAAAUACCAAAUACUCGACUGGUGCCUAGUAUCUUCAUUCUUCAAUUACGAAAAUAAACAUGAGAUUGUUUAUUAGAAUGCUUCUAUAUAAAAAUGAUGCCUCCACUCCGACAGCUAAGCAACCGACACUUGAAUGACGUUAAGCGGAUUAAUUAUUUAUCAUAUAUUAUUAUUUUAAAAUAAUUACAUAGAUUUAUUGUUUUAGUUCAAGAUUCCCAUAUCGUUUUCUCUACUAUGAACUUUUAGCCGAAUGGUAACAUGCACAUGUACGUUUUCUAUCAAACGUUUACAGUUUCACUACCGUAGUCACGUAUGUCUAUGGUAAACUAGUAGUGUUACUUAUCAUUCAACUAAUAGAAAACGAUAUUGAGGAACUAAAACAAGUAUUGUUUGGAGUCAACCCUUUGCCCCAUUUGCGGAUACAAAUUGACCAAAUAUCCAGUUGUGAUAUUAAAAAGUUUUAAGUUAUACUUAUGUUCUUUUGUCAGUGUCAGCUAAAAAUACUUAUGUUCUUUAGACUUUAGUUCACCAAGAGGUGUCGAUCAAGGAAACUAUAAUUAAGAAAUAGAACUGUUCUAUUAAUCAAUGACGAUAUAGUUUCGUUAAAUACUUCGGGGAGUUUUGCUUAUUGGUGUAUACAUUAAUAACAUAGAUAUCCCACGUUGCAUAAGUGAUUUGAGUCAACUAUAAAAGUCGUGGACGCAAACAUGUUCGAAACGCUUGAGCCUAAAUCUGGAUUACAAACAGCGUCAUCAUUAAUUCAUAAAUACCGGCCGUUCAUUUUAAAUGGGUUUUUGUGACGAUGAUUAUCGAUAAUUAUAAAGAGCAAUUUUUUGUUUGUUAGAGUUUGUAAUAAUAGUCUGACAAUAAAUACAGCCCCUUUGUCUUUUAUAUUUUGUUCCUUUUCUACCCAGGUUGUUUCUUUCGUGAAUCUUUUUUUUUUGUAACCAAAAGAUUUAAGACCAAUGUCCAAACUAAGCAUCGAUGUCUACAUCCGUCAUAUAAGCUAUGCAAUGGCCAAAAAGAUGAAGUAUCUAGUAGCAAUAGUAGGCCUGGGCAUUCGGGGUCCCAAUCGGAUUUUGGUUUUAUCCAAUCGGAUUUCGGUUUUUCGGGUUUAUCAAAAUCAGCCCCAUUCGGAUUAUAUGAAAGUUUGGUUCGGGACCGGUUCGGGUUCUAUCGGGUUUGGGUCGGAGUUAGUAAAUCUUCAAAGAACCGGUACAACCCAAUAUACUUUCGGGUUCGGGUCCCAAUCGGUUUUUCGGUUUAAAAGUACAUGAUUUUUACCUAUUUUAUAACCAAAACAUGAGUAAAAUCGGUUUUUCAGUUUUAAAAUACCUGAUUUAUACCUAUUUUGUAACCAAAACUUAAGUAAAAUCGAUUCAAAAAUAAGGAGCAUCAAUCGUGAUCAUUCAAACUCAAACGAAAAGUAAACAUAUUUACUGAUAAAAAAAAACCAAAUAAAUAAAAACAUAAAACAAAAACCAAGUUCUUAUGAAAUGAGAAACAUUGUUUAACGAAAACAAAAUCAAAAUCUAAAUACUUCAAGAUUCAACGGCCAUCUUUAACCAUCAACCUUCAUGUAAUAUAACCACCAACAUUCUUGUAAUAGAUAAGUAUUUUAGAUGUUCAAUAUUUCUUAGUGUAUUUUGGAUACAUAUUAGGAAUUGAUAUCAUGUUUGGUAUAAUAUCUUUUCGAGGUUUUGAAUGUUUCGGGUUCUAUCGGAUAUACAUUUAGAUUCGGGUUCGGUUCGGAUAAUACCCAUAACCCAAAAUAUCACAAAACAAGAUUCAUUCGGUAUUUACGUCGGGUUCGGAUCGGUUCGGAUUCAUUUUUAUCGGAUCAGAUUCGGUUCGGAUUUUCGGGUUCGGUUUAUUUGCCCAGCCCUAAACAAUAGCAUUCCUAAUCUAUAACAAAAUGACAAUGUCUGAAGUUCCAUCAGUGGGUUACUUCAUUUUUAUUUUUAUUUUUAUUUUCCUGGGCUGAAGUUAUCAAAAUGCUUAUACAGUAAAGACUUUUCUCAGCCUCUAUAAAGACUUUAACCACUAAUAGAUAAUAUUUAGAGACACGUGACAAAAAAAAGAAGAAGGUAAUAUUUAGGGACAUACGUAUAUCAGCUGUAUAGACUCCUUAGCCCCUCUAUCGGUCAGCACAUUUCCUUUGCGAUGAUAUAACUUGAGUUUAGCAUCAUCCGAAGUUAAUUAGUAAAGUUCAUUGAUGCCUCGUAUAAGGGUUGGAGCUAGACAUGUCAAACCAACUGUUCAUGCUAAGCGAGUAACAAAUCUCUUGAGUCAGAGUCAAACACUACCAUUGAGUAGCCAAGUUCGCAGAUUGCAAGCAUUGCCUUUUAUCAAUUGCUUACUUUGUUUUUUUUUAACACAUUUUGCUUUGGUUCUUAUUUGGGUACUAUUACAUAUUGUACUUCUAAACAAAAGUCUUAAAACUUAAAAGUACUCAAAAUUCAAUCAACGUUUCAGCUCAAGUUCAGUUUAGGCUUCAAUUCAAGUUAAAUUUAGUUUUUUUUUGUGUGUGUUUCUAUACAAACUAUACUUUUUACAAUAUAUCUAUACAAAAUAUACUUUUUACAAUAUAUAUAUAUAUAUAGCUAAACUUAGUAUUUAGUUUCAGAUUCCCUUCCCCCAUAUAUUAGAAUUGGGCACCUCUAGUUUAAAUUGUUAACUCCAGAGAGUAGAAAACCAUUUGGUGUUGGAUAAAACUUUCAAGUUUUGUACUACAUUUGUUAAGAGGUUUUUCUAUUCAACAAAAUUAAUUAAGGACGUUUUAUUAACAACUCAUCUUUUAGUUUUGAAACAAAGUGUUCUCUAUUAAGAACUUUAACGCCUUAUCUUGAUUUGGUUUUUAGACUUUUAGGUAGUAGAUAUAUCGUGACUAACUAACAAAAUUACUUUUCUCCAGUGUUUUGAAACCCGACCCGGACCCGCGGUUGAACUGGUAAAUCCGGUGACCCAGAAAAAAUCCGAUUUGGGUUUUGUGAAAAACCCAAUAUUUAGAAACCCGCAAAAACCCGCAAAAACCCACUAAAACCCGGAACCCGAUACCGGCUGAACCACCGGUUGAACCAAUAAAUAACUUUUAGUUUCUUUUUAGUUUUUAGAUUAUAUUUUAUAUUCUAAGUUUUCAAUUAAGAAGUAAGGUGCUGAC